AUUGAACGCUGGCGGCAUGCUUUACACAUGCAAGUCGAACGGUAACGCGGGGCAACCUGGCGACGAGUGGCGAACGGGUGAGUAAUGCAUCGGAACGUGCCCGGUAGUGGGGGAUAACUGCUCGAAAGAGCAGCUAAUACCGCAUACGACCUGAGGGUGAAAGGGGGGGAUCGCAAGACCUCUCGCUAUUGGAGCGGCCGAUGUCGGAUUAGCUAGUUGGUGGGGUAAGGGCCCACCAAGGCGACGAUCCGUAGCUGGUCUGAGAGGACGACCAGCCACACUGGGACUGAGACACGGCCCAGACGCCUACGGGAGGCAGCAGUGGGGAAUUUUGGACAAUGGACGCAAGUCUGAUCCAGCCAUGCCGCGUGCGGGAAGAAGGCCUUCGGGUUGUAAACCGCUUUUGUCAGAGAAGAAAUCCUCUGGGUUAAUACCUCGGGAGGAUGACGGUAUCUGAAGAAUAAGCACCGGCUAACUACGUGCCAGCCGCCGCGGUAA
rnacentral:rRNA from 1 species